GCUAAGGUGGAGUUAUUGGUAGCAGGUCCUAUGAAGGAGAAAUGCAAGAGAUCCCCAACCAAGGUCAAAACAUCAAUAACUUCUUCAGAUUCUGAAUCCCCACCUUAAACAAAGGUGUUGGUCAGAGAAGAGGUAUCUAUCACUAGUGACUUGAAAAGCAGAUGGCUCUCUACUCUCCAGAGUUGACACAUAAUAAGGCUACUC
rnacentral:lncRNA from 1 species